UAGCUAUUUAGGUUAGAGUUUGAUCCUGGCUCAGGACGAACGCUGGCGGCGUGCUUAACACAUGCAAGUCGAACGGAAAGGCCCUUUCGGGGGGUACUCGAGUGGCGAACGGGUGAGUAACACGUGGGUGAUCUGCCCUGCACUUCGGGAUAAGCUUGGGAAACUGGGUCUAAUACCGGAUAGGACUACUUGGUGCAUGCCUUGUGGUGGAAAGCUUUUGCGGUGUGGGAUGGGCCCGCGGCCUAUCAGCUUGUUGGUGGGGUGAUGGCCUACCAAGGCGACGACGGGUAGCCGGCCUGAGAGGGUGUCCGGCCACACUGGGACUGAGACACGGCCCAGACUCCUACGGGAGGCAGCAGUGGGGAAUCUUGCGCAAUGCGCGAAAGCGUGACGCAGCAACGCCGCGUGGGGGAAGAAGGCUUUCGGGUUGUAAACCCCUUUCAGUUGGGACGAAGCUUCGCCGGUGAAUAGCCGGCCGGAGUGACGGUACCUUCACAAGAAGCACCGGCUAACUACGUGCCAGCAGCCGCGGUAAGUCGGGCCC
rnacentral:rRNA from 1 species